UGCACCCAUAGCUCAAUUGGAUAGAGUACUUGACUACGAAUCAAGCGGUUAGAGGUUCGACUCCUCUUGGGUGCAU
rnacentral:tRNA from 1 species